UCAUCGCUCUUGACCUAACUCCUCCUUGUAACCAAGCGUCCAAGCCUCCUCACGAGCAAGUCGUGCACCUCGCAUGGCGGUGAGGACGACUGGGCUAUGGCGACAAGGACGCCCACGGCGGCAAGGACGCUCGCGGCCGCUUCAAAGUCGCCAUUGGUAAGCCUCCAGUGCUCAACAUCGUCGCCUUCGCCAGGAUCGAAAGAGACCAAAUUAAGCCUCCCCGACAAGCUGAUCCCCAAGUUCGUCAAGUGCUUCUCCUACGACGACGCCUUUGGUCUCCUCGAGGUCCGACUCUAUGGCCCCUGCUAUGCGCACUACGAACCUACUUCGACAACGAGGUGCGGGGGAACCUCAGCUACGACACUCUGUAGGGUGGUCGGGUGGGCGCAGGAGGAGCUGUUCCUUAAAUUCCUGGUUAUAGGGAUCAUGAUCACCGAUCCCACCUUUGGUGUGAUCCUCUUCGACAUCGGCAUUGUGCGCAAGCGCCUUGUCACCUCCGCCUUUGACCCACCGCUAGAAUACCUCCUGGAAGUGGAAGAAGUGACCAUCGGAAUAGGUGAGUAGACUCGAUUGAAAACGAAGCGAUUUUGCCCGGCUGCAUUUCCUUUCAUGUUGGAUUAGGGAUUGAUUUUGGUGUGAUUGUUGCUGCAUUUGUUGGCUACUGGAUGAUUGACAUCUACUUCCUCUACAUUUUCUAUUUCUUCUUGCUUUCCAACUAAAGAUUGAUUUUUUUUCCAUUGACAAUCUGUUCUCUUCUGCAAAAUAUGAUCUUCAUGUUGUAAAUUUCUUAAUUUUUCUGGAAUUAAACUUCAACAUACAUCCAUUUCGAAUAGCAAUGCUUGUUGUCAAGACAAACCUUUAUUCCUUGACAUUUCUUGUUUACUUCAAUGUUGAUUCUACCAAUGUGACAUUUUGUUGAUUAAUAUUUCUUUAGUGUUUCUUCUGCUUAGUUGAUUUUGAUUUUAGUCUGUAUUUCCUUUUGCAAGUUUUAGCUUUUGCUUCUCCAAAUAUGUUGAGUUCCACACACUAGAACCUUGCUUACAAGCAACCGCUUAAUUAUUUUGCUUCAUUUCAUUGUCAAUGGUGUGCCAACUUGCUUGCCAAAGGCUUGGAAAUUAGUUCAACCUGUGUCCUCCAUUUCUGUCACAAGAUUUCUGGAUACUAUAUUAAAUUAGUUACUGAGAUUAUUUUGCAAUUGCAAUCUCUUACUUAUGGUUAUAUUUCCUCUUAAGUUGUGCAGUCCUUGUUUUUAGUUUUGUUCCUUUCUUGUGCAAUUCUCUGCUGCUUCAAGUAUGAGUAAUUUUUCAACAUUAUUCGAGCUGAACUCAUUGAAUGUGUCUGUGUUUUCUUAGUUCCUUUGCAGAGUCAUUGCGAAUAGUUGGACAAUUUCUUCAUUAGAGUUGAUCAUCACAAAAAAAAAUAAUUCAUAAAAUUGCCAAUGAUUGCACUACUCGUUGAAGUUAAGAUCCAAGGUUUUGUUCUUAUUGCAAAGGGUUUAUUUUCAACUUUCAAAGAUGAGGCUAUCUUCUUCAAAUCUCUCUGAUCACCAAAAGAAGGUAUCAAUGAUACUUCCAUUUAUUCAGAAUAUUUGACAAUCUUCAAGUUCUAUGUGAAGCCUUUACAAAGAUUCAAAAUAUUUUCUUUUAUUAUUGGAAAAUAUGUCCGCAUUCUUCUUUUAAUUUUUAGCAACGGUAUCAAAGAGUUCGCGGAUAACAAAUCGACUUGAGUUAGUGAACAAAAUAGAGAAAAACAAAAUGUUGAUGACUACUCUACUCAUUCUUCAUUCAAUCUUCAAUAAUGAUGUGAUGUAAUCGGUGAAAAAUUUGCUAGAAGGUGGCAGUCUACAGUGAUGUGAUGUGAUGGGUGAAUCAUGCAAGGGGAUGGUGUAUGAACUUCAACGCGAUCGACACUUUGGAAGAUAAAAUAAUUAAAGUUUCAACAGAUUUGCUCUAAUAAGAUGAAUAUAGAAUUAUCACAAGAAAUUGAAGACAUGCAUACUACUAGCAAGAGGAUGGAGGAAGAAAUUAUUAAAAGGAAAAGAAAAUUGGAAUCGUAAUGUAUGAUUACUUUUAUCUCAAGACUAUGUGAAUGUUUUUUAUCUCAAUGGUAAUCAUAUUGUACUGUUGGAUUUAGAAA